UACAAUAGCGCAUGCCUAUGAUCCCAGCAC
rnacentral:piRNA from 1 species